AUUGAACGCUGGCGGCAGGCCUAACACAUGCAAGUCGAACGAGUGGCGGACGGGUGAGUAAUGUCUGGGAAACUGCCUGAUUGAGGGGGAUACAGACUGGAAACGGUAGCUAAUACCGCAUAACAUCAGAUGUGGCCAGAUGGGCUUAGCUUGUUGGUGGGGUAACGGCUCACCAAGGCGACGAUCCCUAGCUGGUCUGAGAGGAUGACCAGACACACUGGGACUGAGACACGGUCCAGACUCCUACGGGAGGCAGCAGUGGGGAAGAUUGCACAAUGGGCGCAAGCCUGAUGCAGCCAUGCCGCGUGUAUGAAGAAGGCCUUAGGGUUGUAAAGUACUUUCAGCGGGGAGGCGUUACCCGCAGAAGAAGCACCGGCUAACUCCGUGCCAGCAGCCGCGGUAAUUC
rnacentral:rRNA from 1 species